GGGGAUUUGGCUCAGUGGUAGAGCGCUUGCCUAGGAAGCGCAAGGUCCUGGGUUCCAUCCCCAGCCCCU
rnacentral:tRNA from 1 species